rnacentral:rRNA from 1 species
CAGCCGCCGCGGUAAUACGUAGGGUCCGAGCGUUGUCCGGAAUUAUUGGGCGUAAAGGGCUCGUAGGCGGUUUGUCACGUCGGGAGUGAAAACUCAGGGCUCAACCCUGAGCGUGCUUCCGAUACGGGCAGACUAGAGGUAUGCAGGGGAGAACGGAAUUCCUGGUGUAGCGGUGGAAUGCGCAGAUAUCAGGAGGAACACCGGUGGCGAAGGCGGUUCUCUGGGCAUUACCUGACGCUGAGGAGCGAAAGCAUGGGGAGCGAACAGGAUUAGAUACCCGGGUAGUCCCUGUCUCUUAUAC